GCUGGUGUAGCUCAGUUGGUAGAGCAGCUGAUUUGUAAUCAGCAGGUCGGGGGUUCAAGUCCCUUCACCAGCUCCA
rnacentral:tRNA from 6 species